UACGUAGGGUCCGAGCGUUGUCCGGAAUUACUGGGCGUAAAGAGCUCGUAGGUGGUUUGUCGCGUUGUUCGUGAAAACCGGGGGCUUAACCCUCGGCGUGCGGGCGAUACGGGCAGACUGGAGUACUGCAGGGGAGACUGGAAUUCCUGGUGUAGCGGUGGAAUGCGCAGAUAUCAGGAGGAACACCGGUGGCGAAGGCGGGUCUCUGGGCAGUAACUGACGCUGAGGAG
rnacentral:rRNA from 1 species